rnacentral:rRNA from 1 species
UACGUAGGGUGCGAGCGUUGUCCGGAAUUAUUGGGCGUAAAGAACUCGUAGGCGGUUUGUUGCGUCGGCCGUGAAAACUUGGGGCUUAACCCCGAGCUUGCGGUCGAUACGGGCAGACUUGAGUUCGGCAGGGGAGACUGGAAUUCCUGGUGUAGCGGUGAAAUGCGCAGAUAUCAGGAGGAACACCGGUGGCGAAGGCGGGUCUCUGGGCCGAUACUGACGCUGAGGAGCGAAAGCGUGGGGAGCGAACAGG